rnacentral:rRNA from 1 species
UACAGAGGGGGCAAGCGUUGUUCGGAAUUACUGGGCGUAAAGGGUGCGUAGGCGGGUCUUUAAGUCAGGGGUGAAAUCCUGGAGCUCAACUCCAGAACUGCCUUUGAUACUGAAGAUCUUGAGUUCGGGAGAGGUGAGUGGAACUGCGAGUGUAGAGGUGAAAUUCGUAGAUAUUCGCAAGAACACCAGUGGCGAAGGCGGCUCACUGGCCCGAUACUGACGCUGAGGCACGAAAGCGUGGGGAGCAAACA